UACGUAGGGCGCAAGCGUUGUCCGGAAUUAUUGGGCGUAAAGAGCUCGUAGGUGGUUUGUUACGUCUGCUGUGAAAACCUAGGGCUUAACCCUGGGCCUGCAGUGGAUACGGGCAGACUAGAGGUAGGUAGGGGAGAAUGGAAUUCCUGGUGUAGCGGUGGAAUGCGCAGAUAUCAGGAGGAACACCGGUGGCGAAGGCGGGUCUCUGGGCAGUAACUGACGCUGAGGAGCGAAAGCGUGGGGAGCGAACAGG
rnacentral:rRNA from 1 species